GUUUUUCCCUUCAGUAACAUUGGUUUGCUAGGAAGCUCGGUCCCCGCGUUGCCGGAGCAUAGGAAGGACGCUUGUGGGGUGAGGACGCCCCCCACACGUGGCUCGCGGGUCCGUACUGGAGGCGUGCGCGCUGGAGUAGUUAACCCGCAGGUGGAGUGACUAGCCGCUGCUGUUUGGUCCUAGGUCGGCACCGGGGGUCCGUCCCGGGUCCCUAGUCUGGCCAAGCACGUAGUUGGCAAGUCCCCGGGUACGCAAGGCUAAAACACGAAAAGGACAAAGCCCCUCCCCGGCAAGCUAGUCUUAGGCAAAGAAGCAAAUAAAAUAGCAUCGGAUAUAUAUUGAAGCUUGAGCCAAACGAGUUAACGAGUAACCUUGAUAAUGACAAGGGAAAGCUAACAUAAAAAAGUUCUAAGGCGCCACGCGCCACUUGCAGGAAAAAAAAAGAAGAAGGAAGGAAACUACGCGGGAGGUGAUCCCGGGGCGACUGCGUCGGUGUCAGGGGCAUCCACGGCAUCGGGGGCUACUCCGGCAACCUCCUCAGCAGCGGC
rnacentral:lncRNA from 1 species